CGCUACCAUCGCCCCCUGCCCACCCAGCCAGCCCCGCGGGCACAACCCGCCCCGGGGCGGGGGGAAGCGGGGGGGCCGGUCGCUCUGUGCCUACGGAAGGGGGCACGGUGCCUUCUUUGGGACGCGAUGGCUUAUUUGGUGUGGGGUGGAUGGCUUAACUUGCUGGUAAUUUCUGCUGCGUCAACACCCAGCUCAAGGGAGAGGAGCAGAGACAAGGGGGCAUUUUAACAGCAGCUCCACUUGCGAAUAGCCAAGCCUCAAUCCCGGCUCCAGCAUUCAAACCCUUUCCCCCCCCCCAAAAAAAAACCCAGCAUCCGUGCAAGUUGGACCAAGAGUUUGUCAGGAGCGUGGUUCCAAACUGCUUGGGAUAAAGGGAUGAGGACGUCUGGUGAGCCCUUUGGAGGUUGUCAGCAGAGCCCAUUCUCCUCUCUUCAUUAAAACAUGCACUUUCCAGCUGUGAAACAUCGCGACAUUUGUUUUUGCUAACAGGAAACAUUUUCAACUGUUGUUCUGUCCUUCUCCUGCAAGAAGUCCCAGCAGUGAUAUCGGAAGGUCAAAGACUGGUGCACUACCUGUGCUGCCCUAGGGCUGUUGAUGUCCUCAGCUGUUGUAGGAGAAACACCAGACCUGGAACCCAGUUUGUUACUGGACUUGUGGAAGAGGAAACACAAAGAUUUCCAGAUGAAUAACCGCAAGGAAGAUAUGGAGAUCGCGUCCCACUACCGGCACCUGCUGCGGGAGCUGAACGAGCAGAGGCAGCACGGCAUCCUCUGCGACGUCUGCAUCAUAGUGGAGGGGAAGAUAUUUAAGGCUCACAAAAACGUUCUGCUUGGGAGUAGUCGUUACUUCAAAACACUCUACUGCCAGGUACAGAAAACCUCUGACCAGGCCACUGUCACCCACCUGGACAUCGUGACUGCACAAGGCUUUAAAGCCAUCAUUGACUUCAUGUACUCCGCACACCUCGCGCUGACCAGCCGCAACGUCAUCGAGGUGAUGUCAGCUGCGAGUUACCUGCAGAUGACAGACAUUGUCCAGGCCUGUCACAACUUCAUCAAAGCAGCUCUUGACAUAAGCAUAAAGUCUGAUGCUUCAGAUGAUCUCGUUGAUUAUGAGCUUGGAGCCCCCUCCAGCAGCAGUACGGAUGCUCUGAUUUCAGCAGUGGUGGCUGGCAGGAGUAUAUCUCCCUGGUUAGCGCGGCGCACGAGCCCUGCAAACUCGUCUGGAGACUCAGCCAUUGCCAGCUGCCAUGAAGGAGGGAGCAGCUAUGGCAAAGAGGAUCAAGAACCAAAACCAGAUGGCCACGAAGACAUUUCAUCCCAGUCUCUUUGGUCUAGUGACAUGGGCUAUGGCUCUUUACGGAUCAAGGAGGAACAGGUUUCGCCGUCGCAUUACGGAGGGAGCGAACUGCAUUCUGGCAAGGAUAGUGCAAUACAGACUGUGUUCUCAGAGCAAGGAGUAGGGGACGGCUGGCAGCCCACGGGGCGCAGGAAGAACAGGAAAAACAAAGACACUGUGAGGCAUAUCACACAGCAAGUGGAGGAGGACAGCAGGGCAAGCUCUCCAAUGCCAUCGUUCUUACCUGCUUCAGGAUGGCCCUACAGCAGUCGAGACCCCAGUGCUGAGGUGCCGGUGCCGGAGCCCAGCAGCUCUGACAGCAGAGUGGAGGAAGCGCUCCUCACCGGGGAGGGCACGUACAUCCCGCAGCCGCUGACGCCGGAGAAGGAGGAUGUGCUCCAGGCUGCCACCGUGGCCAACCUGCGCGCGGCUCUCAUGAGCAAGAACAGCUUGCUGUCCCUGAAAGCCGACAUGCUGGGAGAGGACAGCUCUCUGCUCUUCGAGUACCUGCCCAAAGGCACCCACUCCCUCUCCCGGCCUGGCACCAACUUGAAUCAUCCAAGGGGCGAAAGUGAUGGCAAAGUGGAAGCACCAUCUCCCCCGCUGCCUUCAUCACACCUUGCCACUCAGAGCCCCCCCGAGGCCUGCUCCUCUGGUGGCAUGUCACCAGAAACCAUGGCAAAAGGAGAGGUGCCUUCCUCCACCCAGGCCGCUUACGAUGGACUUUUAGCACUUUGGCAGUUUGAUAACUCUGAUUCAGAUACGAGCUUCUCCAGAUCCGAAGACAUGGAUGGAACCACUGAUGGCCUCUGCCAGGAUUCCAGCCUCGCCAAGAGGCUGACCUGUGGUUUCUGCAGGAGGGUUUUCCAGCAUGCUGAAGAGCUGAAGGAGCACAUCCAUGAACAUGCCUUCUCCAUGCUUUUCCCAUUGGACUUGGUUGACUGCCCCCGGCCGGGCCUCACUGACAGAGUGCUUCCCAAUCCGCUCUCCCGCUUCCAGUGCUCCCAGUGCCCUGCCACCUUCACUCUGAAAUCCAACAUGGAUCGGCACGAGAAGUCCAUCCACUUCCAUUUCAACGAGUUCACAGUCAUCAGGAAGAAGUUCAAGUGCCCCUACUGCAGUUUCUCAGCCAUGCACCAGUGCAUCCUGAAGAGACACAUGCGAUCCCACACGGGAGAGAGGCCCUAUCCCUGCGAGAUCUGCGGCAAGAAGUUCACGCGCCGGGAGCACAUGAAGCGGCACACGUUGGUCCACAGCAAAGACAAGAAGUACGUGUGCAAGGUGUGCAACCGAGUGUUCAUGUCCGCGGCCAGCGUGGGGAUAAAGCACGGCUCCCGCCGCCACGGCGUCUGUGCCGACUGCUCUGGCCGAGGCAUAGCCGCUCACCUGGACCACAACGGGGGAGAAGGCUCUCCAGACGAGUGCUACCCCGGCGAAGGGCAGUACAUGGAAGACCCGGACGACAUCAAAGUGGAAGGAGACGAGGAGAUGGGAGACGACGACGACAUCAAGUGGAAGGACGACGUGGGAAUGUCGCAGGAUGAUGUGAUUUUAGAUGACGACAAGGACGUCGACUCUCCGCAGGAGCAGGACCACUCUGGGGAGAACGACAAGGAUUUUACCUGGAUUUCUUAGGGAUUCCUUUGUUUGUUUGGGGUUUUUUUUUUUGUUCCGCUCUCUUGUUUGUAGGGGGAGGGAGGGUGGGAAGGAAGGAGUGUGUCGGAAAAGAAACUUAAGUAGCCUUGUUGUCGUCCAUGUGUGCAAAAUAACUCUCGUGUUUUCUAAACCGGUCCUUCUCUGUCCCGCUCCGAUACUGUCUUAGCAGGGUCGCUCCCAGUGGCACCACUGACUUUGCCUUCCCCCUUCUCCCUCCACCACCAGCCCCGGCCGCAGCCGUCGGGUUGAUGAGGUUGAGGGUGCGAGCACUGCGUGAUGGGAGCCUGGGUGAAGCACGAGUCCUCCCUCCCUUCCCACCCUGACCCUGUGUGGGGAGAGCUCUGUGUCCAAAGCAGGUUGUUUUCGUGGUGGUUGGGUUUUUGUUUCUUUCCUCUAUUCUGUUUAACACCUUGUCUGUGUGCUGAAUCCCAGCAGCAGUGGGAUUACAAGCUGGUGUUGGGAAAGCAGGUUGAUGGAUGUGUUGGAGGGCUUCCCUUGGUGAUACAGGCCUUUUGGCAAAGGUGUUGGAAGAGAGUUUUAAUUGUUUUUUUAUGGAGCCAAAUAGAUCAAAAGGCAAGUCAGAUUAGAGCCUUACGGAGUCUUCUCUUGGACUCUCAGCUUCCAAAAGAGUCACCAUCAAACAGAGGAAGAUGAUGACGUUUCUUGGACCUACUGGUGUCAUGCCCACGUCCUGUCUUCCAGCCUUGGUUAUCCACAGGCGCUGCAAUGCAUGUUGGUGCUCCCAGAAGCACCCUUUGCUGUAAAGGACACAGCUCCACCUAACUGACAGCAGCAGUGCACGUUGGAAGUGUCUCGCUCCUGAGCAGAAGCUGGUUUUUACCCUUCACCUCUUUGCUUCUGGUGCUUUUUGAGCUGACGACCUCACUCUUUUCCUUGCCACGGAGCAGUUGUACACCCUGCCUGUGACGGUGGUUCUGGCCCAGAAGACAACCCGUUACCAGAAAGCCAAAUGACUUAACGGUGCUAUUUUCCCCCCGUGGUGGGACAGGUGAUCCCAGUGGGAUGGAGAAUGUUCUUGCAGGUCUGGUGGUCCGUAGUGAAAAGCCUGGUUCCAUCCAGUGAUGGAAAUACCCAGUGUCUUGUACAGUAAACCCCAGUUAAAGCAAACAGUCUGGAAGGACUGCAGCCACUCGGUGCCGGGAUUUGAUGGAGUGUGGUGGGAACCUCAAUCCUGGCACCUGCAGUAGCUGGUUCUUCAUUCACUCCCUGAUCUCAGGCACAUCCUGGGUUUGUGGCAUUUAUUCCUCUCUCUGCUCCUCAGUUCCUGGCAGAAUUCCCUUUAUGGGGAAUCUCCAGCAGCUCCUGAGCUGUUGCUUCGGGUGCCCGCUGGGGAUUCGGAAACACGGAUCUUCCCUGGAAUCCUC